rnacentral:rRNA from 1 species
GACGAACGCUGGCGGCGUGCUUAACACAUGCAAGUCGAACGGAAAGGCCCUGCUUUUGUGGGGUGCUCGAGUGGCGAACGGGUGAGUAACACGUGAGUAACCUGCCCUUGACUUUGGGAUAACUUCAGGAAACUGGGGCUAAUACCGGAUAGGAGCUCCUGCUGCAUGGUGGGGGAUGGAAAGUUUCGGCGGUUGGGGAUGGACUCGCGGCUUAUCAGCUUGUUGGUGGGGUAGUGGCUUACCAAGGCUUUGACGGGUAGCCGGCCUGAGAGGGUGACCGGCCACAUUGGGACUGAGAUACGGACCAGACUCCUACGGGAGGCAGCAGUGGGGAAUAUUGCACAAUGGGCGGAAGCCUGAUGCAGCAACGCCGCGUUCGGGAUGACGGCCUUCGGGUUGUAAACCGCUUUCGCCUGUGACGAAGCGUGAGUGACGGUAAUGGGUAAAGAAGCACCGGCUAACUACGUG